AUCUUUGGGGAAGUUUGCACAAUGGACCCAAGCCUGAUCCGGGAAUGCCGCGUGAGUUAAGAAUGUCUUCUCCUUGUAAAGCUCCUUUAUCCGGAAAGAAACGUGAACGCUGAAUAUCUCUUGCUAUUGACUCUACCUGACGAAUACGCACCGACUAACUACGUGACAGCUAUUGCGAAUCUACGUACGUAGCAAGCGUUAAUCGGAAUUACUGCGCCGAAAGCGGGCGCCGGCGGUUUUGUCAGUUUGUCGUGCACGCCCCGGACUCAACCUGAGAAUUGCAAUGAAAACUGCAACGCUUGAAUCUGGCAGAAGAUGCUAUAAUUCCACGUGUAACACCGAUAUGCGUAGAGAUCUCCUGGACCUUUUCUGGCGCUGGCACCCCCCUGCUCGAGAUCGAACCUCAUG
rnacentral:rRNA from 1 species